rnacentral:rRNA from 1 species
ACACAUGCAAGUCGAGGGGCAGCAUUUCAGUUUGCUUGCAAACUGAAGAUGGCGACCGGCGCACGGGUGAGUAACACGUAUCCAACCUGCCGAUAACUCGGGGAUAGCCUUUCGAAAGAAAGAUUAAUACCGGAUGGCAUAUGAUCAUCGCAUGAUAAUCCUAUUAAAGAAUUUCGGUUAUCGAUGGGGAUGCGUUCCAUUAGUUUGUUGGCGGGGUAACGGCCCACCAAGACCGCGAUGGAUAGGGGUUCUGAGAGGAAGGUCCCCCACAUUGGAACUGAGACACGGUCCAAACUCCUACGGGAGGCAGCAGUGAGGAAUAUUGGUCAAUGGACGAGAGUCUGAACCAGCCAAGUAGCGUGAAGGAUGACUGCCCUAUGGGUUGUAAACUUCUUUUAUACGGGAAUAAAGUGGUCCACGUGUGGAUUUUUGUAUGUACCGUAUGAAUAAGGAUCGGCUAACUCCGUGCCAGCAGCCGCGGUAAUACGGAGGAUCCGAGCGUUAUCCGGAUUUAUUG